GGGGAUUUAGCUCAGUGGUAGAGCGCUUGCCUAGGAAGCGCAAGGCCCUCAAGGCCCUGGGUUCGGUCCCCAGCUCCG
rfam:Rattus norvegicus chromosome 4, whole genome shotgun sequence.